AUUGAACGCUAGCGGGAUGCCUUAUACAUGCAAGUUGAACGGCAGCGCGGACUUCGGUCUGGCGGCGAGUGGCGAACGGGUGAGUAAUGUAUCGGAACGUGCCCAGUAGCGGGGGAUAACUACUCGAAAGAGUAGCUAAUACCGCAUACGCCCUACGGGGGAAAGGGGGGGAUCGCAAGACCUCUCACUAUUGGAGCGGCCGAUAUCGGAUUAGCUAGUUGGUGAGGUAAAGGCUCACCAAGGCGACGAUCCGUAGCUGGUUUGAGUGGACGACCAGCCACACUGGGACUGAGACACGGCCCAGACUCCUACGGGAGUCAGCAGUGAGGAAUUGUGGACAAUGGGGGCAACCCUGAUCCAGCCAUUCCGCGUGUGCGAUGAAGGCCUUCGGGUUGUAAAGCACUUUUGGCAGGAAAGAAAUCGCACGGAUUAAUACUCUGUGUGGAUGACGGUACCUGCAGAAUAAGCACCGGCUAACUACGUGCCAGCCGCCGCAGUAA
rnacentral:rRNA from 1 species